rnacentral:lncRNA from 1 species
UCCCGCUCAAUAUUCCAAAAAUAAAGAUUUCACUAUAAUUAAUAUUUGUACAACGAUAAGAAUAAUAAAAAAAAUACAAGUACAAAAGAUUCAAGCUUUCUUUGAAUAUCAUUUCCGACGAGUAUUCCCAAGAACCUGUACAAACACUUGUAAUAAAAAUGUUAGUAACGAAAUAAUUACAAAAAAGCAUGUGCACAUAUAUGUAUUUAAAAAAUAUAUUUUUUUAUUAAAAAGCGAGUUCAGAUAAAGUUUUUAAAAAAUAUAUAAAAAUUUUAUCAUUGCCCAAAUUUAUUUAUUUUAUUACGUAUUUGUAUACAUAAUAUCCAUCUUUUUAUUUGUGGAGGUCUCAAAAAUCGACGCAGAUCUUCUUAAUAGGCCAAGUGUCAACCCUUGAUAUAAAAUAACUUUGAUAAAAUAAAAUCCGUUUUUUGUAACGAGGUGACCUUAAAUAUUCAGACGGACAGAUAAUUUCAUUAGCCAAGCUUCGACCCUUAAGAUAAAAUAAUAAUUUUGAUAAAAUAAAGUCCAUCUUUUGUGACGGGGUGGCCUCAAAGAUCCCGACAGAAAGAUAAUUUUAUUGGCCAAGUAAAAGUUAAAUUUAAAAUAAAAUUCAUCUUUAUAAUAGGUAGACCUCAAAAAUUCAACCGAAAUAUUUUAUCAUUAUCAAUUAAACUAUUCAAUAUCCAACUAAAAUAAAAAAUAAUAACAGAUCAACAAAACACAACUCAAGAAUAACAAAACAGAAUGAUAAUGUAAAAAUUAUAACAAAUACGUAGGAAAAUGAGAGCACAAAAACUAAAAAUAAAAAUUAAACCAAAUUAUCUUUAAAAAUCAUGAAAGAAGUUGCAACAAAACUAAGAGAAAAUAACAUUCUAAUAUUAACAUUAAACUUCAAACAAAGAAUCUCAAAUUAGAAGGCAUUAACAUUGUCAUAGACAUAAUUGAUCAAUUCAAGAACAAUUUGAAUAUAUGUAGACCCACAUGUAAUAAUACGAAAAAUAAAAUUUGUGGAGGUCAAAUCUCGAUGGGAUCUGAAUGUUACCGAAGUUAUGACUUGAUAUUACCGAAUUUUGUGCUUCUCUGGUGCUGAUGUUGUUUGCCAUGAAGGUUGUUUGGGGAUGAAGAAAGGGAGAGAAAGGAGGGAUGGGGGCGGGGAAGAACAAAGGGGGAAAAAGAAGGUAUGGGGCGUGGAUGAAGAAAGGGAGAGAAAAGAGGGAUGGGGGCGACAGCGGGCUGCCGGACUUGAAACAGCUUACGGCGACGUUCCGAUUUCUGGUUCGUAGGAAUUACAGGUUCGUUGUUGUCUGGAGCUCGUCGGUUAUCAACUCCGGCGAUCCAAUGGUGGAGCGGCGGGUGGAGGAGAAAGGACGAGGGGCGGUGGUGUUUUGGGGGUUUUUCGACGGUAAUGAAGGGCUAUAGGAAAGAAAGAGAGAGAGGAGGAAGGGGUACGGUGGCGGUGCCAUUGGGCAAAAUCCAUCGGAGCUCCAGUGGUGGUGGGGCGGAAGUGAAGGGAAAAGGGAGAGAAAGUGAUGAGAGAGAGUGAGGAUUUGGUUUGUGUGUCGGUGUAUUAGUGUAUACGUUAGUGUGUAUAUGUGUGGU